rnacentral:misc_RNA from 1 species
ACACAUCCUCAACCUUCUUUUGGUCUUUUGACCAGGGAAGGCUUGGACUUUGGAGGUCUUUCAUUGCUGGUAUCCUUUUAAAGCCAGCUCCUCCUAAAUGAAUCAGUGGGAUCCGCUUUGGUGAUCCUCGACGUGAUAAGCAUUAUUCUACGUCUUGGGUUUUCACAGCAACCUGCUUCCAACUGUCUUUUAAACAAAGACAAUGUUCGGGUUUCGACUCGACCCACAAAA